rnacentral:rRNA from 1 species
UUGAACGCUGGCGGCAGGCCUAACACAUGCAAGUCGAGCGGAUGAAGGGAGCUUGCUCCUGGAUUCAGCGGCGGACGGGUGAGUAAUGCCUAGGAAUCUGCCUGGUAGUGGGGGAUAACGUCCGGAAACGGGCGCUAAUACCGCAUACGUCCUGAGGGAGAAAGUGGGGGAUCUUCGGACCUCACGCUAUCAGAUGAGCCUAGGUCGGAUUAGCUAGUUGGUGGGGUAAAGGCCUACCAAGGCGACGAUCCGUAACUGGUCUGAGAGGAUGAUCAGUCACACUGGAACUGAGACACGGUCCAGACUCCUACGGGAGGCAGCAGUGGGGAAUAUUGGACAAUGGGCGAAAGCCUGAUCCAGCCAUGCCGCAUGUGUGAAGAAGGUCUUCGGAUUGUAAAGCACUUUAAGUUGGGAGGAAGGGCAGUAAGUUAAUACCUUGCUGUUUUGACGUUACCAACAGAAUAAGCACCGGCUAACUUCGUG